ACACCUCAACUCCCAUGGUUUGCCAUGGUGAGCUUGGACUUUGGGGGUUUUGCUGGCCCACGGUCGGCUCCUCUCAAAUGAAUUAGCCUGCCAGUGUUUGGUGGCAUCACGGGUGUGAUAAAUAUCUACGCUUGCGAUUGUCCACCAGGUAACCUUCAGCAAUGGGGGUUCGCUGGGGCUCAUAAAUGUCUCCCGAGUGAAGACAGCCUUCUGAAC
rnacentral:misc_RNA from 1 species